rnacentral:lncRNA from 1 species
CAUCCAGGUUGCGUGAAGUUGUGUCCUUUUUAUUUAUUGCUAAGAUGUUAACAGUGGGUUUUCUUGUGCUUUUCAUCAAGUUCCCCUUUUCCUAGUUUGCAGAGUUAAAAAAAAGUCAUAAGUGUAGGUUUUGGAUUUUGUCAAAUGCCUUUUCUGCAUCAAUUGUUAUGAUCAUAGCAUUUUGAGAUGGCGGAUCACACUGAUUUUCAGAUAAUGGACCUGCUUUGCACAUCUGUAAUACAUCUCUAGUCAUGGUGUGUAAUUCCUUUUAUACAGUUCUGGAUUCAGUUUACUAAUAGUUGCUUUUCUGUUACUUUCAUCAAUUAUAAAAUAUAUUUUAAGGCUAAUACAUUUUUAAAAAUCUCUAAGGUGUUAAAAAUAGACAAACAAGAAACACGAUUUUGUUUUUAGUCUAAGGCAGGUAUAUUAUCAACAUUGACCAUAAAUCAAAGCCAUUCAGUACCAUCAGAUGUAUAUUGGAGGUGCUAUUAGAGUGGCUGGAGUGGGGACAGGGAUCACAUCCUUUCUGUGGGAUCAGAAACACUUCACUGCCCCAAAUUUUUAGACUGUAGAAGAUGAAGAUUUGAUUCAGAGAUGAUUUGAAAAGAAGGGGACUGGCUUGAUUUUAUGAAAAGAGAAGAGGUAAAAAAAAAAAAUAUAUAUAUAUAUAUAUAUAUAUAUAUAUUUAACAUAAUGAGCUUUUCUGUCAUUCACUGUUUUAACUUAAAUGUGUUAACUUAUUUGAUCACAAGAAUUUUAUGAAGCAGAUACUUAUCAACAUAAUACACAUGGUGAAAUAGAGUCACAAAUGAACUCAAGUAAUUUCCCUAAGUUACAUAUUAUGUGGUGGAACUAAGUCCAGAACCCAGGCUUUUUAAUACUACACACUACUGCCUCCAGGGACCAAAGAAUUCUGAAGAGUCAGGACAGGCAGGAUUGGGUAUGGUUGAAUGGGGAACUACUAGAGUUGGAUAGGGGCUGUGAACAGUAUACUAGUGUAACCAUCACUUGUCAUCUUUUAGGCAAGCACCAAGUAUCUUCUCAACCAUGCAUAUCAUAUGAGUUCCCUAUGUUAUGGAAGGAAUUACAGGGAAGGAGAAAACUCCAUCAAUAAAGUAUGAAAGACCAAGAUUGCUUUGUCUUUGAAAACAUAGGGCACGUUGUGAGCAUUAUAUAGAUAUUGAUAGCUUGAUUUGACCAAAAGAUUUAUUGAAUGAUUAUGUCAGGCACUAUUUGAAACACUUUGCAACUGCAGUGUGUUUACUCUUCACAAUGACGAGUAAUUUCAUAUGAAAUAAUUCUCAAGAAAAAUGAGAAGCUCUCAAUAAAGAAGAGUGGUAGAUAAUGGAAGUAUACAACCUAAUUGUUUUCUAAUAUGGCAAUAGAAAUCAAUUAGCAACAGAUAAAACCAAUGGUGUCAUCCAAAUUAACAAAGUUAUCAAGGAGUAAAGUCAUAAGGAAUUAGAAGGACUUUUUAAAGAUAUUUAUUUAUUAUUCAUGAGAGACAGAAAAUAAAGAGGCAGAGACAUAGGCAGAGGGAAAAGCAGGCUCCAUGCAGGGAACCUGAUGUGGGACUUGAUCCUGGAACUCCAGGAUCAGGCCCUCGGCCAGAGAGAGAUGCUCAACUACUGAGCCACCCAGGCGUCCCUAGAUGGACUAGAAAAGUUUGAAGCUGUCCUUGCAGACAAGACAUAUAAAUGUACAAAUAUGGAGAUAUUUUCCAGUUCUAGCAUGGGAAAUGUUAAUUAGGAUGCCAAUAUUCCUGAUAUUAUUUCAUCAUCAAUGCUAUUUCAAUAAAUCAAA